rnacentral:tRNA from 1 species
GUCAGUGUGGUGUAGUGGUUUGAGCACUGAACUAUGACUCUGGAGAUGAAGGUUCAAAUCCCUGCCCUGACA